rnacentral:rRNA from 1 species
ACGUAGGUGGCAAGCGUUAUCCGGAUUUAUUGGGCGUAAAGAGANUGCAGGCGGUUUUCUAAGUCUGAUGUNAAAGCCUUCGGCUUAACCGGAGAAGUGCAUCGGAAACUGGAUAACUUGAGUGCAGAAGAGGGUAGUGGAACUCCAUGUGUAGCGGUGGAAUGCGUAGAUAUAUGGAAGAACACCAGUGGCGAAGGCGGCUACCUGGUCUGCAACUGACGCUGAGACUCGAAAGCAUGGGUAGCGAACAGGAUUAGAUACCCUGGUAGUCCAUGCCGUAAACGAUGAGUGCUAGGUGUUGGAGGGUUUCCGCCCUUCAGUGCCGGAGCUAACGCAUUAAGCACUCCGCCUGGGGAGUACGACCGCAAGGUUGAAACUCAAAGGAAUUGACGGGGGCCCGCACAAGCGGUGGAGCAUGUGGUUUAAUUCGAAGCUACGCGAAGAACCUUACCAGGUCUUGACAUCUUGCGCCAACCCUAGAGAUAGGGCGUUUCCUUCGGGAACGCAAUGACAGGUGGUGCAUGGUCGUCGUCAGCUCGUGUCGUGAGAUGUUGGGUUAAGUCCCGCAACGAGCGCAACCCUUGUUACUAGUUGCCAGCAUUAAGUUGGGCACUCUAGUGAGACUGCCGGUGACAAACCGGAGGAAGGUGGGGACGACGUCAGAUCAUCAUGCCCCUUAUGACCUGGGCUACACACGUGCUACAAUGGACGGUACAACGAGUCGCGAACUCGCGAGGGCAAGCAAAUCUCUUAAAACCGUUCUCAGUUCGGACUGCAGGCUGCAACUCGCCUGCACGAAGUCGGAAUCGCUAGUAAUCGCGGAUCAGCAUGCCGCGGUGAAUACGUUCCCGGGCCUUGUACACACCGCCCGUCACACCAUGAGAGUUUGUAACACCCAAAGUCG